AUUGAACGCUGGCGGCAGGCCUAACACAUGCAAGUCGAACGGUAACAGGAAGAAGCUUGCUUCUUUGCUGACGAGUGGCGGACGGGUGAGUAAUGUCUGGGAAACUGCCUGAUGGAGGGGGAUAACUACUGGAAACGGUAGCUAAUACCGCAUAACGUCGCAAGACCAAAGAGGGGGACCUUCGGGCCUCUUGCCAUCGGAUGUGCCCAGAUGGGAUUAGCUAGUAGGUGGGGUAACGGCUCACCUAGGCGACGAUCCCUAGCUGGUCUGAGAGGAUGAUCAGCCACACUGGAACUGAGACACGGUCCAGACUCCUACGGGAGGCAGCAGUGGGGAAUAUUGCACAAUGGGCGCAAGCCUGAUGCAGCCAUGCCGCGUGUAUGAAGAAGGCCUUCGGGUUGUAAAGUACUUUCAGCGGGGAGGAAGGGAGUAAAGUUAAUACCUUUACUCAUUGACGUUACCCGCAGAAGAAGCACCGGCUAACUCCGUG
rnacentral:rRNA from 1 species